rnacentral:rRNA from 1 species
UACAGAGGGGGCAAGCGUUAUUCGGAAUUAUUGGGCGUAAAGGGCGCGUAGGCGGCCUGGCAAGUGGAAGGUGAAAUCCCUCGGCUUAACCGAGGAACUGCCCUCCAAACUGCUUGGCUUGAGUCCGGGAGAGGUGAGUGGAAUUCCCAGUGUAGCGGUGAAAUGUGUAGAUAUUGGGAGGAACACCAGUGGCGAAGGCGGCUCACUGGACCGGAACUGACGCUGAGGCGCGAAAGCGUGGGGAGCAAACAGG